CCCAAAAAUACCCCCUUUAUUUGAGUUUGAUGUAAUGCCCUAAAAUAAUUCCUCUUUCAUACGCCCACAAAAUCACAAUCUUUGCUCAAAUAUUUUUUCUGCCCUUUUGCCCCUGCAAAUUUAUCUCUUCCCUUCCUCUACCCUUCUACUAGUAUAAGGUGUUUUCUGAGGUGGGUUUUGUAAAGUUCGAAUUUUUAUUGGAUUACAAUCAAAACCCAGAUUAAGAAUUGAGGAAUUUUGCAAUUUCUGUCUCUGGAAAUCUGGAAUUCACAUUUUUCAGAUUUUGAAGUUCAUUUUCAGGAAGUCACAAAGCAUGCUUGGUAUGGGGGAAGCAGAAUUUUAUCCAGAAGGCAUGUGAGUUGAAUAUUGGCAGAAAUCGCAGCAAUAUGUUCUAUCAAUCUUAGUAAGGCAAUCUGGUGUAUGAUCUCGCUUGCGCUACAAUUCACCUGCAGGUAUGGGCUUCAAAGUUCAUGUAUAAGUAUCAAACUCAUGGUUUUUAAAGCAUAUGGCUUUGCACAAUGAUGAAUGACACUUAAUACAAUUACCAUCUGGGAACUAGUAUCAAGUAACAAGAAAACUUUGUGUCACUACUAAAGAAAGGAUUAGAAUGAUGGACAUGGACUACAUAGCUUUUAUACACUUGGUUUAAUUACAACUUUUGUAUGUUAUAAUAUGAACUGAAUCUAACUAUCUUUGCUCCAUCUGUUCUUGGAUAGGAAGCACGUAUGAACUUGGAAUUCCGAAUAGUAGGACAUUUUUUUUUUAAUAUGCUAUAGUCUUGUUGCUAUUUACAUUUGUCAUUUAUGUAUUUAAACUACCCUCAAUUUUCAUCCCUCUCCUCUAGAAAAACUUUAUAAUCCUUAGGAACUGUUCUCCCUAGUUUAUUUUCAGUUCAGUUGCAAUCAGUUCAAUUCAGUUUGGUUCAGCUCCAACUAUCAUCUAUUAGUUAUAAUUUAAUUCAAUUCAGUUCAGUUCAGUUGCAAUCAGUUUAGUUUAGUUCACUUCAGUUCAGUUGCAAUCAGUUUAGUUUAGUUCACUUUCAGUUCAGUUGUUUUAUGUCGAAAAGAACAGACCUUAGACUAUAUAGUCGAUGUUGUUGCUUUUGAUUGCCAAAGGCCCAAAAGGAUGGAUGAGAAGCACAAAAGAAUCUCAUAAUAGUACCAAUAAUAUAAAAUCUUAGACCAAAACACAUGUAUAUCUAUUCACAUUUAGUUAUAACUUAUAAAUAACAUAGAAGUAUAUAAAUUCUAAAAGAAUAUUUACUAAAAUAAUAAUAAAGAAAAAACAUAAAGAAAAGAGCUAUAUAUUAUCCACUGUAUUUACUUCUUUUUUCCCCCUUUUGUUUAGACUUUUAUACUCUUGGUCUACCUCCAAAAAGGCUUUUAAAGUGUUGAGCUUGGGACUCAAGCUUGGCAUCGACUUAUAUGCUCACCUGUUUAUGAAGGCUCAUCAUCUCCACCUCUUUAUUCUAGUGGGAAGUAAAAGAUAUACUAUGCUUUUAUUAUUGAAUUACAAAUAAAAUAUUCUCCGUUUUUUUUUUACUUGCAACGUUUUCACUUUACCAAUAUUUAUGUACUUACUUUGAUCAGAAAUAUGUAAAUAAUAUACAAUACAAAUUUUAGCACGUAAGGUAUUUGUUGUAUAUAUAUAUACACACAAGAUUUCAACUAACGUAUUAAAAUUUGCACAAAUAUAUAAUUAGAUAUAUUAAUGGACAAAGUUGUAUAUCGACAAAUAUGAAAAUCAAAAUGUUGUCAGCUAAAAAAGGAACAAUUAUAUAUUUUAUCCGUUUUAAAUUGAUAAUAAUGUUCAUUUGGUUUAGACACAGAUGAGCUAGAGAAGAGAGUUUCUUUAUAAAAAAAAAAACUUUGAGAGAGAAGGUAGAUAGAAGUAGAGAAACCUAUGUGCUAAAGAGAGUUAAUUUUUACUCGAUAACUAAAAUUUAGUAAGACCUUUUAAUUUGAAAAAGAUGGGAACAUAAUGUGACAAUUAUUCAUUAAAGUAAGAAUUUAAGAUUAGGAUUAAAUGAGACUAUAUUAUAUAGCCUACAAUUAUAUCAAGGAUGUUUUGGCCUAGUAAUUAAGAUUGAGGUGUUAUGAACUCAUAAGUUCGAAUUCCUUCUCCUUCUUUAUAUUUUGUACUGCCUUCAUGGCUAAUAUGAAAAAAAAAAGGAACUAUGGAAGAGGCACACCUUUGACUGUGGUGUAAAACGUACAAGAUUUGGUCACCUAGCAAAAGGUUUGUAAAUCCUACCUAAUACAUAUUAUAUCUACAUUGUUCUAAGCAAUGUCCCUUUGACCUUUGUAAACAAACAAAAAAAUCAUAUUAUUAUGUACGUACUUAAAAGCUUGUCAUUCUAAAAAAUAUAUAGUAAUGUUUAUUAAAAAUUAUUCAUAUUGAAUAGUGAAAAAUACCUAAUGACAAUAAUGAUUUUAAUACUUGAUUAUAAUUCAUACUCCCUCCGUCCCAUAAUAUAGUGCUUGUUUCUUUUUUACACGGUCUCCAACCCGUAACUUUGACUUUUAAUAUUUUCAAUUCCGUAUUAAUAAAAAAAUAUAAAAAUUUGAUAUUAUGAAACUACACAUUGAGACGAAUCUAACAAGAUCCCACAUGAAUAUGUUUUUUUAUACAUACAAAUGAGAAUAUUCGGUCAAAGAUUUUAAAGUUUGACCCACCAAAAAUGAAAUAGUCACUAUAUUAUAAGACGGAGGGAGUAUAUUUUUGAAAGGUAAUAACAAUAAAGGUUAUGUAAAUAUAACAAUAGAAUUUUGACCUUAAUAACUAACUCCAUGUCAACAGGUCAAAAUAAAUUUCUCAUGCAGAUUUUUCCAACUUAUUUUACUAUAAAGUAUUUUAAAAGACCUAAAUAACUUACUUUUACAUGUGAAAACUUGAAAAGGGCAUUAUAUGAGGUGUUGUAAAAAGUAGACUUUGUAUUUCUUUUCAUGUGUUCCAAAAUAUAUAAGAAAAAUUAUUCUUACCUACAAGUGUAUAUAAGGGUAUGAUAUCCUUUACAACUUGAACUUGAUUAUAAUGCAUGGAAAGAUCACCCCACAAAAGAACCUUAUUCUCUCAUUCUCAUUUCAUCUUUCUCAAAAUACUUGCACAAACAUUGUCCUCUCUUCCUUACAAUGAAUCAUGGUUGACAAGUUGAGGGGAAUGUUGUGUGGCUCGAAGUCAUUCAUACAUCAAGUUGUAACAUGAAUGAUUUCGGACCAGGCUUCAUUCCCCUCAACAUAAACAAGUGUUUGAAUCAGCUGGUAAAAGAGAAGUUUUAUCUUAACAAGCUUUAACUACGAGUAUAGGAUUCGAGAUCCUAGAAAUACAACAACACUUGUUAGCAUAGCUUUGUGCCCAUUUGGACAUUGUCCGUGCUCUAAUCCAAUUUAGUCGGAGUUUUUGCAGGUUUUAAAACAAAGUAAGUUUUCUACAAACAAAUUAAGUUCUUGCUUUUCUUAUCAAAGUGUGUUUUUCUUUGUUUAUCUCAUUCAGAAUGCUAUCUCCAUACUAGUUGGCUAGUUGCUGAGUUAAGACUUGUUUUCAAGGCGGAGCAAGUCAAAAUAGAAAAAUGGACAUUGGGUUCAGAGAUAAUCAGACUCGAACUGAUGACUUUCACCACGUCAAGGUGACACUCCAUCGCUGAGUUAUAUCCCUUCCUUGCCCCAUCGCCAUCGAGAAAUAGAACUGACUAAUCCUAAGACAAAGGAGUCGAGAUUUUAGCUUGUAACUGUGAAGAACUGUGAAUUUGGGGCAAGGUGUGAAUGACUGACUUAUUGGUUUUGAAUUUUGAUGCUUUAUAAUACGUAAAUGCAUUCACAACUGCUUUUGGAUUUUGUAUUCUUUUAUUUGUUCAUUUAUUAGGAUUUAUAUUUUGAGUUUCUAGAUAAUGUAAACAUCUGCUGGCAAAGAUUGAAUGUUACAAGAAGCUUUAAUUACUUAAUUAUAUUUCUAUGAACAAGAUUAAAAGUGGGUGAAAACUUUUGAGUA